CCUCGGAGCGUGCCCUCCGCGGAGGCGGCUGGAGGGUCCGGGGGCCUGUGUGGGACCUCGGAACUUUUUCGGUGCGUCAGACUAAAAAAGUGAGCGUUUUGCUCUACGUUUUGCUGCGUGAGGGGCCUUGGCUGAUCGCCGGGCGCCUGCGUUGGACUGCGGCGACCCCGCGGACCGGCCCUUCCCGCCCGAGCCUCCGUCCGGGCCUCCCGCGGCCGGGCGUCACCCCCACACCGAGCCCGAGAGGGUGUCCUCCCAACGGCGACCGCGGGCCUGCACCGUUUCAUUUGGAGGUUCCACCGAGAUUCUAUGACCACCCGAAAUUCGGAGGCUGAAGUGGAACAGCUAGGGGAGAGCUCCCGAGACACGUUCCUCGGCCCCGGCCUUCCGUUCUCAGACCUGGCUUAAGCAAGGUACGCGAGGCGGCGCCUAUUUUCUGUUUUCUGUUCUCUGUUUUCUGUUACUGGCCAGAUCUGAUUCUCGGAGGGAAGGCUGGACGAAGCUUAACUUUCCCCUAGCUGGUUCUGGUGGAGACAUCCCCAGCCCCAUCUGGGUCUCCGGACCGUCUGGGUUGGGCUUGAUCACCCCAACCAUUCGUUCUAUGUUCAGUGCUCUGUGUGCCCUGUUAAACGUUUCCUGUUAGCCUAUCUUUAUCUCUGGUGUGACCCACUGUUUAACCUCCGUCAUGGGUCAGUCUUCGUCCGAGACUUGCUCUCCCCUUAAAUGCAUGCUAAAUAACUUCGCUGGUUUCAAAAAAAGAGGAAAGAACUAUGGCUCUAACCUAAAGCCGUCCUGGCUGCGGACAUGUUGCCCACUGGACUGGCCGAUGCUCUCUGGGGUUGACUGGCCCCCAGAGGGCUCCUAGAAUCUUAACCUUGCUUAUGCCGCCCACAGGAUUUGUCAUGAUGUUCAUCCCGACCAGGAGCCAUAUGCUGUGACGUGGGUCGACCUCCUAAACGACCCACCUUCCUGGCCGAGAAAGUGCCAGAAACAGGGCCAAAAGCUGUCAUCUGGCAUCUCCCUUUCCCACUCCCCUUCCUGUUCUCCUCCAAACUCCGAACCCUUGCUUCCCGUCACUCAGCCUUCAAAGAGGCUUUACCCAGUGCUUCAGGAGAUACCCGAAGGGAGGGACUUGUUAUCCGAUUCUCAGAGACCACCUCCUUAUCCCCAGACCCCACUAGCUCCCCAGGAACCCAAAGCCGCAGGAGAGCCUUUGACUAGUCCCCCACAUACCAGAUCAGGAGCCCUCUGCAGAGGAGAACACCAGUCCUCCGAUGCCCCGGUUCCCAUCCUUCCUCUCAGGCAAACGGCUCCGGCUCCCGGUCCAGACAGGCGGCCAACACGCCCGAUGGUUGUCUACACUCCACCUCGGACCUCUACAACUGGAAAACUCAGAACCCGCCUUUCUCUGAAAACCCCCAGGGCCUAAUUGACUUAUUUCCCUCUAUUUUCCCCACUCACUGACCUACUUGGGAAGAUUGUCACCAACUCUUGCAGGUCUUACUGACUUCAAGGAAAGGGCCCGAGUGCCCCGGGAAGCCACGAGAGCAGUCCUUGGCCCGGAUGGAAUGCCUACCACAGACCUUCACAGAACUGAGCACGUUUUCCCUUCCGCGCCGCCCCAGUGGGACCCUAACACGGAUAACGGUAGGGAGCGUCUACUCCAGCAUCGCCAGAUUCUGUUACAGGAGCUUCACGCAGCGGCACGAAAGCCCACCGAUCUGACAAAGAUUCAGGACACGGUCCAAGGGCCGAAUGAGUCGCCUGCAGCCUUCCUAGAAAGGCUUUAUCGGGCGUACCGCUUAUAUUCCCUAUUGACCCCGAGGCAACAGAGAACCGUAAAACCAUUAAUAUGGCUUUCGUUUCUCAGUCGGCCCCAGACAUCCGUAAAAAGCUCCAAAAAUUAGAAGGAUCCGAAGGAAAGGUAAUUUCAAAGUUGGUGGAAAUAGCCCAGCCAGUUUUUCAGAGCAGGGACAGCCCUGCCAUUAUGCAAGGGAAGGAAAUAGGGAAAGCCCUAGAAGCAGCCUGGGGAAAAAACCCGCAGGCAACAGCAAAGGACAGGGAAGGCCUCAACCCCGCCAGAAAGGACCCCGAGCAAAGCUGGGAAAAAAUCAAUGUGCUUAUUGUAAGGAAGAAGGACAUUGGAAAGAUAAACGCCCCAACAAAAAGCCUCCCAUCCUGGUCGCCCAGGAACAAUGACGCCACCACAGCUCCCCUCUUUCCCUGAGUCCCCAGGAGUCUGUGGUCACCCUCAACGUAGAAGGGAAAGAAGCCAGAUUCCUGGUUGACACUGGGGCUUAAAGAACCCUUAGGACCUGUGAUUAAAGGAAAGGUAUACAUUCCGGGAGCCACAGACGAACGCAAGGCUACCCGCGGACUCGUGCCCGAAUCACUGACCUAGCUCAAGGGACUGUUACUCAUUCCUUUGUGCUCAUACCGGAUUGCCCAUGUUCCCUUCUGGGGAGAGAUCUGUUGCACAAGCUUAAGGCCCAAAUCUCCUUUACCGGAAAUUCCAUACACUUGAACCUAUAGCCACCUGCCAUUCUAGUUACUUGCCCUAUAUCAGAGGAAUAUCUACUCCUAGAAAAACCAGAGCGGAAAGCCUCUCCAUUAAUAGAAAAAUGGAAAGAGACAAUUCCUACAGCUCGGGCUGAAACUAACCCCCCCGGACUAGCCAUUCAACAAGCGCCGCUGGUGAUCCAGCUGGCUGCCCCAGCCACCCCCGUCCGGGUGGGGCAAUAUCCAUCCCGUCAGCCAGCAAGCGAGGGGGGGAAUUGCCAAACACAUCAACCGCUUGCGAGAAGCUGGGAUCCUAACGCCAUGCCAUGCCCCCUGGAAUACUCCCUUGCUUCCUGUCCCAAAACCUGGGACUUCAGAGUAUAGGCCGGCACAAGACCUCAGAGAAGUUAACAAAAGGGUGGAGACAAUUCAUCCUACGGUCCCCAACCCCUAUACUCUCCUGAGUGAACUCUCACCAAAUUACCUCCUUUACUCCGUCCUGGGCUUAAAGGAUGCAUUCUUUGCUUUGCCGAUUGCGAAGGUCAGUCAGCCUAUUUUUGCCUUUGAAUGGACAGACCCAGAUGGAACCUACAACGGACAGUUAACCUGGACUCAACUGCCCCAAGGGUUUAGAAACUCCCCUACUCUAUUUGAUGAGGCUCUUCGAAGGGAUUUGGCGCCCUACCGGGAGAGCCACCCAGAUGUUAGGCUGUUACAAUAUGUAGACAACUUGCUCCUAGCCACUGACUCCUUAGCUGCACAAAGGCUACGGAGGACCUGCUGAGGGAAUUAGAUGUCCUGGGAUAUAAAGUUUCCGCAAAGAAGGCGCAAAUUCGCUUGGACUCUGUCGUAUACUUGGGCCACCAACUGCGUGAAGGCAAGCGAUCGCUGGCGCGGGAAAGAAUCCAAGCUAUCCUCAACAUUGCCAAACCCACAACUAAAAGGCAGAUCGGGGAGUUCCUAGGGGCCGCUGGGUACUGCCGCCUCCGGUUACCUGGUUUCGCUGAGAUGGCAAAACCCCUGUACUCCGCCACCGGGGGUGAAGGAACUGAGAUGGUCCGGAGAGAACAAGAUAGGGCUUUUGAGCAAAUCAAGAGUGCCCUCACCCAAGCCCCAGCCCUGGCUUCACCUGCUAUUACCAAACCCUUCCAACUAUUUGUGCAUGAGAUCCGGGGUCCUUACUCAAGCUCUGGGCCCCUGGAAACGACCUGUCGCCUACUUGUCCAAGCGGCUGGACUCUGUUGCCACCGGGUGGCCCGGUUGCCUCAGAGCGGUUUACCGCCACUGCCAUGCUGGUUGAAGAAGCUUCCAAACUAACGCUUGGGCAAGACCUUCAGAUCACAGGACCUCACGCAGUAGCAUCCCUGCUGCGCUCCCCACCAGACCGAUGGAUCGACGCACGAAUCCUCCAGGAUCAGGUGUCGCCACUAGACCCUCCACGCAUCACUUUCCUGAAGACAGAGGCUUUAAAUCCAGCCGCGUUGCUGCCGGAUGGCGACUCGAUUGCUUGGAAACCGGGAGUACUCUGACGGGACUGAGGGGGGACUUAAGAGAGCGACCUCUGCCAAAGGUGGACUUCGAGCUGUUCUCUGAUGGCAGCCGUUUUGUCAAAGAUGGACUCAGACACGCAGGUGCAGCUGUAGUGACUCAGGACCAGGUUAUCGGGGCCCAAGCCCUUGACACUUCUGCCCAAAGAGCAGAGCUGAUGGCUCGAGCCCAGGCCCUCGGAUGGGCAAAGGGAAAAACGGCGAACGUUUUCACUGAUAGGAGGUAUGCCUGUGCCACCACCCAUGUUCCUGGAGCUCCAUAUAAGGAAAGAGGACCGUUCACUUCAGGAGGGAAGGAAAUUAAAAAUACAGAAAUCCUGGCCCUACUGGAAGCCUCAUGGCUUCCUAAAAAGGUGGCCAUUAUACAUCGCAAGAGCCACCAAAAGGCAGACUCGCCCCAAGCAAAAGGAAACGCCGUUGCUGAUGCAACGGCCAAGGCCACAUGUUCUCCCGAUUAAAAUUUUGCCUCUGCUGCCUCCACGCUUUCUCCCCAUGGAACCAUUUUAUAGCAAAGAAGAGCUACCCCUGAUAAAAACCUCGAGGGCAAAAAGAGAUGACCAGCAUUGGUAUCACCUCGAGGAUGGACGCAUCUUCAUACCAGAAGCUAUAGGACGGACCUCGCUCCCGCAAGCCCACAGCCCCACACAUCUAGGGGCAACCAAGUUGUCUGAACUAGCCCAAAGAGACUACGUUAUUCCAAACCUUAAUAAAAUCGUAAAAAGCCUAGUCGACCGAUGCAAAGCCUGUGCUCAGACUCCCCCAUCUCCCAAGUUUAACUUUUCGGGACGGCGACUACGCGGACAGAUGCCUGGAGAAAUUGUGGGAAUUUGACUUCACUGAGACGAGACAUGGGCCCUACGGCUAUCAUUAUCUCCUCGUUCUAGUGGACACCUUCUCUGGAUGGGUGGAGGCUUUCCCCACGAGAACAGAGUCAGCUCAGAUAGUGGCUAAGAAAUUACUCAGUGAAUUGGUUCCCCGAUUUGGCAUCCCUACUGGUCUGGGGUCAGAUAAUGGCCCGGCUUUCAUAGCCCAGAUAUCUAAAAUAUUGGCCAAAAGCUUACAAAUAAAUUGGAAAUUACAUUGUGCCUACCACCCCCAAAGUUCAGGGCAGGUAGAAAGAAUGCAUAGAACUCUAAAAGAAACCUUGACUGAAUUAAUUCCAGAAACUGGCGAAAACUGGGUAGGCGUCCUUCCUCUUGCCCUCCUCAGAGUACGCUGUAUACCUUACGUAAGAGGCAUCCCCCCCUUUGAAAUCCUAUUUGGAAGACCACCUCCCUUGCUUCCAAAAUUAGGAGAUGAACAAUGGGCGGAAAUCUCAAACCAACACCUAGAUUUCAUUCCCCGGUCUCGAUUUACGAGGGAACCCAUUUCUCCUAUCCUAGUGCCCCUCUUUGUAGGACUGGGGGGUCGCAGGAUCCAUUGGCGUAAGUACCGCCGCGUUCGUCACAGGGGAUCAGAACUUCAAAUUACUAAGCAAACAAAUUGAUCAGGGUAUAUCAGAAUUAGAAAGGAAUAUGGAUAAACUGUCUGAAUCUGUAAACUCUUUAGCUGAGGUGGUACGUCAGAAUCGGAGGGGCCUAGGCCUGUUGUUUUUACAACAAGGAGGGCUUUGUAUGGCCCCUGGGGAACAGUGCUGUUUUUAUGUCAAUAAUUCAGGAAUCAUCAAGCAGAGCCUGAGUCAGAUCAGACCACGACUAGAGGAAAGAGAAGGGCAAAGACGAAUUCAUCAAAAUUGGUAUGAGUCUAUAUUCCUUGCUAUAACUAUAGGACCCUGUUUGAUAAGACUACUACUUCAGUUCGUAAAUUGAAAAAUAGGAUCUAUAAAGCUUAUGGUGUCACGUAGCCAAUACGUCCCAUUAGCCCAAAUGCCAAAAUAAGGUUAUUCAAAGGUUUGAACAACUAACAAACAGGAGUGGGGAAUGUAAGAGGUCAACUUGUAAGAUAGCAGAAAGCUUAUUGUAUAUCAGUUCGGCUUAAACUCACCUUUCACGAAUAAUUGAGAUAAAAGCUUAUGUAGUUCCCUAAUACGGAAAUUGACCGCCCUAUCUCGCUUCUGUAACUUUGCCUGCUUGGGAAAUAGAUACCUUAGGCUGCAAAACGCUCCCCCACCCCUUUUACCAAGAUCUGGCCUAGGCAACACCAACAUGUAAAAAGUCACCAACUCACCGCCCCACGGUAUCUUAGGUGUCUAACUACGAUUGGUCAUUUUAAACCCUCUUAGGACAAAGAACUUUAAAUUGAUAGGUUCCCACCAAAACUAAGGUCUGUGUGUCACAAUAGAAUUGGCUACCAUGAAAUGCUGUAAAUGGCAAUUGGGUAACUAAAUAAUGACCUAUUCUGACUUGCUAAAAUCCAUAGAAGCUCACUGCUACCUUUGUUCGGGGCCAUUCUCUACACUUUUCUCCUUAAGAUCAGGAGAUCAGGUUUGGCCUGGCCGUGAAUAAAAUCUUGCCUUGCUUCUA